rnacentral:rRNA from 1 species
AGUAACGGCGAGUGAAGCGGCAACAGCUCAAAUUUGAAAUCUGGCCCCCCGCGGGCCCGAGUUGUACUUUGGAGAGGACGCUUCUGGCGCGGCGCCGUCCGAGUUCCCUGGAACGGGACGCCGGAGAGGGUGAGAGCCCCGUACGGGCGGCCGCCUAGCCUCUGCGAAGCUCCUUCGACGAGUCGAGUAGUUUGGGAAUGCUGCUCAAAAUGGGAGGUAAAUUUCUUCUAAAGCUAAAUACCGGCCAGAGACCGAUAGCGCACAAGUAGAGUGAUCGAAAGAUGAAAAGCACUUUGAAAAGAGGGUCAAACAGUACGUGAAAUUGUUGAAAGGGAAGCGCCUGUGGCCAGACUUGCGCCCCGCGGACCACCCGGCGCCUCGCGCGCCGGGGCACGCCAGCGGGGCGCAGGCCAGCAUCGGCUCUCUCGGGGGGACAAAGGCCGCGGGAACGUAGCGCCCUCGCGGCGUAUUAUAGCCCGCGGCGCCAUGCCCCCGGGGGGGCCGAGGACCGCGCUCCGGCAAGGAUGCUGGCGUAAUGGCCACCGGCGACCCGUCUUGAAACACGGACCAAGGAGUCAAGCAUUGGGGCGAGUGUCUGGGUGGCAAGCCCGCACGCGGAAUGAAAGUGAACGCAGGUGGGAGCUUCGGCGCACCACCGACCGAUCCUGAUGUCCUCGGAUGGAUUUGAGUAGGAGCCCCGCCGCUUGGACCCGAAAGAUGGUGAACUAUGCCUGUAUAGGGUGAAGCCAGAGGAAACUCUGGUGGAGGCCCGCAGCGGUUCUGACGUGCAAAUCGAUCGUCAAAUAUG